rnacentral:rRNA from 1 species
UACGUAGGGGGGCAAGCGUUGUCCGGAUUUAUUGGGCGUAAAGAGCGUGUAGGCGGCUAGAUAGGUCCGUUGUGAAAACUCGAGGCUCAACCUCGAGACGUCGAUGGAAACCAUCUGGCUAGAGUCCGGAAGAGGAGAGUGGAAUUCCUGGUGUAGCGGUGAAAUGCGCAGAUAUCAGGAAGAACACCCGUGGCGAAGGCGGCUCUCUGGGACGGUACUGACGCUGAGACGCGAAAGCGUGGGGAGCGAACAGG